rnacentral:lncRNA from 1 species
AAAAACUAGUAGCAAUUGUCAAUUUGUGCAGUCUACUACAAAAUUUCAAUCCCUCAUGCUCUCCCUUGAAGUCUUAUACCCAGCACCAGCAGCCCCAGUCCUUGCCCUGCUUCCACCCAUCGACGAUAACUAACCUCUCCGCCAAUGGCCUCCUGCUUUGCCACUGCUUCAGUGUUGAGAGUUAGGCAUCAGUGAGUCUGCUUUCUCCCUCUCUCCCCUUUUUUUUUUUUUUGUUCUUUUAAAGUUUAGUUCAUUUUUAUUAUUAUCAUUUGUGAUUUAUAUUUUAUGAAUUAUUUUUACGAGUUAUGGAAAUGAUUGUGAGCCUAUAGUGUUAAUUGUACGGAUUUUGAUUUUUGUGAAUUUGAGAAUUGGAGAUUUUGUGAAUUUGAUAAUAUUGGGGAUUUUGUAUUGAAUGAUGAUGUUUAUGAUUUAUGAAAGUUGGGAAUUUGAGAAUAUUUGAUAUAUGAAAUUAUAUCGAUAAAUUGGAGUAUUUGUAUGGUAAAUAAUAAAUUGAAGAAUUUUUAAUAUUAUUUGAUUAAAUAUUAAUAAAUAACUUCGCUAGUAGUUAUUAGAUCAUUGACUAUCGACGAUUCAACGAUUAAUGGUCAAUGGCUACCCUAGCUGACAUCCAAUUUUGGAUUCGUAACUAAUCAGGAGGAAAAGACGGAAAGAAGCUGAGGAUGCAGUGGAAGAAACAAAAGUCCAUAAACAGUAAAAAUGAAAUGAUGGGAGAGAGAUGGUAGAGAAAAAUUAUUUCAGUAAGAGAGAAAAUUUUAAUUAAUACCGAUUUUUUGCAUAAAAC